AUUGAACGCUGGCGGCAUGCCUUACACAUGCAAGUCGAACGGCAGCACGGGAGCAAUCCUGGUGGCGAGUGGCGAACGGGUGAGUAAAGUAUCGGAACGUGCCCAGUCGUGGGGGAUAACGUAGCGAAAGUUACGCUAAUACCGCAUACGAUCUAUGGAUGAAAGCGGGGGAUCGCAAGACCUCGCGCGAUUGGAGCGGCCGAUAUCAGAUUAGGUAGUGGGUGGGGUAAAGGCUCACCAAGCCGACGAUCUGUAGCUGGUUUGAGAGGAUAACCCGCCAACUAGGGACUGCGACACGACCCAUACUCCGACGAGAGAAUGUAGUGUGGAAGUAUGGCCACUGGGCGAAAGCCUGAACCAGCCAUGCCGCGUGCAGGAUGAAGGCCUUCGUGUUGUAAACUCUUUUUGUACGGACCGAAAAGGUUUGGCCUAAUAAGCUGAGCUCAAGACGGUACCGUAAGCAUAAGCACCGGCUAACUACGUGCCAGCCGCCACAGUAA
rnacentral:rRNA from 1 species